AGAGUUCGGAAGAGGGAUGCGGCGACAUUUGUUGAUUUCGCUUGUGUUUGGAUUCAUAAUCAGCGUAGAGUCUGUUCCAGCAAUCGUAUGUGCAGGAAGACAGUGCUUCGUAGAUAAAUUAUGUAAUACUACUAUUUACAACGACUGCGGGUGUAAAAAGGGCUAUAGAUUUUCGAAUGGAUUAAAUGAUACAUGCGUUGACCAGGACGAAUGCUUUCAUCACAUACACGACCCUUGCGGUCACAGAGGACGUUGC